rnacentral:rRNA from 1 species
GACGAACGCUGGCGGCGUGCUUAACACAUGCAAGUCGAACGGAAAGCCCCCUUCGGGGGGACUCGAGUGGCGAACGGGUGAGUAACACGUGGGUGAUCUGCCCUGCACUUUGGGAUAAGCCUGGGAAACUGGGUCUGAUACCGGAUAGGACCACGGUCUGCAUGGAUGGUGGUGGAAAGCUUUUGCGGUGUGGGAUGGGCCCGCGGCCUAUCAGCUUGUUGGUGGGGUGAUGGCCUACCAAGGCGACGACGGGUAGCCGGCCUGAGAGGGUGUCCGGCCACACUGGGACUGAGAUACGGCCCAGACUCCUACGGGAGGCAGCAGUGGGGAAUAUUGCACAAUGGGCGCAAGCCUGAUGCAGCGACGCCGCGUGAGGGAUGACGGCCUUCGGGUUGUAAACCUCUUUCAACGCCGACGAAGCGGAAGUGACGGUAGGCGUAGAAGAAGCACCGGCCAACUACGUGCCAGCCGCUGCAGUAA